GGGAAGGCAUGGGGCAUAGUUGUUUGUGGGUUUGUUUGAGUAAGGCAAUCAAGCUAUACAUAGGAUAGUCCUGAAACCAUGCCUCUUGUUGAAGAGCUUUCGAGGGAAGUAGAAAUAAAGGCAGCUGCAACUGAAUUCUACAACAUCUUCAGACACCAUUCUUUCAAUCUCCCAAAUAUUUCUCAGUCCAUCCAGAAAGUUGAAGUUCGUGAUUCCAUCACGUUCUAGUAUUACACAGUCGAUGGUAAAGCUGAAAUUUACAAAGAACGAGAGGAAUUCGACGAUAACGACCUACUCAUAUCCAUGAUUGGAGUGGGAGGAGAUAUGUUCAAGUAUUACAAGGCCUUUGAGGUUAUUUUUCAAGUUGUACCAAAGGGACCUAAACUUAGCUUGGUAGUUUUGCGCAUGAAAUAUGAGAAACUUGACCAUAACUCUCCCAAUCCAGACAAGUACGUUGGAUUUUUGAACAACUUGAUCAAGGACAUUGAAUCCCACCUUAAAGAUAAAUAAACCUCUAUAUGUCUCUAUUCGAGCUUCAUCUCAUUCAUAUUAUAAUAUGAUUGAGUAUGUUGUGUCUUAGUUGUGUUUUUGCUCCCAAUCUACAUAUCUUCUAGACUUGAUGUGUAUGUUUGUACUUAUUACCUAUGGUUCUCUAUGUUUGUGAGGAUUUUCUAUAAACUAAAUAAGUAUCCUCAUGCAGACUAGAUUCUCGUGUAUUCUCUCAGUUAUAUAAUAAAAUGUUAUCUUUUGGUAUGCUA